AUUGAACGCUGGCGGCAUGCCUUACACAUGCAAGUCGAACGGUAACGGGCCUUCGGGUGCCGACGAGUGGCGAACGGGUGAGUAAUACAUCGGAACGUGCCCGAUCGUGGGGGAUAACGAGGCGAAAGCUUUGCUAAUACCGCAUACGAUCUACGGAUGAAAGCAGGGGACCGCAAGGCCUUGCGCGGACGGAGCGGCCGAUGGCAGAUUAGGUAGUUGGUGGGAUAAAAGCUUACCAAGCCGACGAUCUGUAGCUGGUCUGAGAGGAUGAUCAGCCACACUGGGACUGAGACACGGCCCAGACUCCACGGGAGGCAGCAGUGGGGAAUUUUGGACAAUGGGCGCAAGCCUGAUCCAGCCAUGCCGCGUGCAGGAUGAAGGCCUUCGGGUUGUAAACUGCUUUUGUACGGAACGAAAAGCCUUCUUUUAAUACAGGAGGGUCAUGACGGUACCGUAAGAAUAAGCACCGGCUAACUACGUG
rnacentral:rRNA from 1 species